rnacentral:lncRNA from 1 species
CCGAGGCUUUGCACGUGACAGCCUGUUCUCCACGUGAAUGGAAUACUCAGUGUCAAUGUGGAAGCCUGGUGACUUGGAUUAUUACUGGUUGGAUCCUGCCACGUGGCACAGCCGGGAAACAUCGCCUAUUAGUUCGCAUCCUGUGACGUGGCAGCCAUCUAAAGAAGGGGAUCGAUUAAUUGGACGUGUUAUUCUUAACAAAAGAACAACCAUGCCCAAAGAAUCAGGUGCAUUGUUGGGCCUAAAAGUUGUUGGAGGAAAAAUGACAGACUUAGGACGGCUUGGCGCUUUCAUCACCAAAGUAAAGAAGGGUAGCCUGGCAGAUGUGGUUGGACACCUCCGAG